rnacentral:pre_miRNA from 1 species
UAGUUACUCCCUCCGUCCGAAAAAGCUUGUCCCAAGCUUGUCUCUCAAAUGGAUGUAUCUGGUGCUAGAUACAUCCAUUUGAGGGACAAGCUCGGACGGAGGGAGUAUUAA